UAUUUUGUAAACACACCACCAGAAGGUAUGUCAGAUUCUUUUGAACUAUGUGCAGCACUAGCAUUAUUGAAUGAAUCCUCUUCGUUAAAGUAUGAUCUUAAGGGAGAGGAGGAAGCUGAAAAGUCCGUAGGAAGAUGAACGUCAGUAGAGUCCUUUCCUGAUAACUGUUGAUUCAUUUUUGAAUCAGCCAAUGCAAUUUGUACCUCAGAGAGCUUACGCUGAGUAAUUUUUGCUUGCUCGGUAAGAUCAUUGACCUGAUCAGAAAGUUUACUUUUCUCUGUCAUUACAGAGGAAUAUGAAUGCUUUAGAUCAUAGAGCUUUUGCUGAGAAUUUAGUAGCUCUUUAGUGCGACCCUCACAAAGUCUCUGGGACUCACGUAACAACUCGUGAAGCCCUUCUAGCUGAGACUCCAAGUAGGAGAUCUUUUGUUUCGACUUCGAAAACUCUUUAAGAUUAUCUUUAUUUUCGUUAAUAGAAGAUAAUAACUUUGAUAAUCCGCUUUGCAUUAUAGCUUUCGAGUAUUUAGCAUCAGACACUGAUUGUUCUAAGGCUGACUCCAACUCUAGCGCACGAGAUUGCAAAUUUUCCAACUCAAUCCGAACAUUCUCAUAUUCGUACUGUAAAUUUAAGCACUUCUGUUGCAACGUACUUUUCUCAUCCCUUUCUCUACGGAGCGAAUCUUCAAAAGACAAUAUGGCAGUAUUGGACACAUCAAGAGCACUAGCGGAUGCUUCAAUCACAUUUGUCUGCAUCUCCACUCGAUCAUGCAUCUCAAUUAGCUUCGUUUCCAGCUCAUAAUUUCCAUACUCCAAAGCCUCGCAACGAGAACGAUAAUCGACUAACUCUUCUG